GGGGUAAGGCUAGAGUAACAGAUAGACCGAUCAUUGCUAUUAAUUGAGAAAAAGGGAAACUGCUUAAGAGCUAAAAAUAAUGAAUAUAAUAAGUUCCUGUGCCCGAAACUGGAGGAACAAGUGCUGUGUAGGAUGCUCUACUCUGAGUAACAGGUUGGACUUAUUACAAGUAAGAUCCCGUCAGGUGAAAAGGUGGAGUAGUACCUAAAGCUUAAAAACGAUAAAUAAUAAUAAACAAUAAUAAAGCUUGAAAGUAGUUGCCUCUGAGUUGA
rnacentral:lncRNA from 1 species